AUUAGUUUGGCAGAAAGAGAUUGAUUUAAAGGAAUGGCAACAAAUGAAGUGACGAAGAGAUAAGUUUCGCAGAAAGAGACUUCUGAUCUAAAGGAAUGGCGACGAAAGAAGUGAAUUUGUGCGCUCUUGAUCAUAGUACCGUUUGGACAAGAAAAAACGCCUAGUUACACUUAGGUGCAAUUACUGUGGAAAAAAGCUAUACAGUUAUUCUCGUCUUAAGCAACACUUAGGAGGAAUACGUGGAGAAGUAACACCUUGUCUUAACGUCCCGGAGGAUGUGAAGGUACAAAUGCAAAACAGUUUGUCCAAAACAAAGAUAGCACAUGUGAAUAAUUCUAAACAAGGUAAGAAUGAGGCUGUUGUAGAUUUUCACAGUCAUCGUACACUUGUAGAUGAUGUCAAAAAGCGAGUCAGGUGCAAUUACUGUGGAAAAGAAAUAAAUAGUUAUUCUCUUCUUAAGUAUCACUUAGUCUUACAUGAAUAUGUAGUACCAUGUAAUAAAGUCCCAGAGGAUGUUAAGGUACAUAUGAGGAACAGAUUGUUACCAGAAACAAAUAAGCCAGAUGAACACAGGGAAGUUUCCGAAUCGUGUUCUUCUUGGAAGAGGGAUUCCAGCUCUGACGACUAUUCCCCUGAUGAAGCGUAUAUAGACAUUCGAGAUCAUGGUACAGUUCUUGAUAAGAAAAAAGGUCGAAUAACUCGAGUUAGGUGCAAUUAUUGCGCAAAGGAGAUCUGUAAUUAUUCUCGUCUUAGGCAACACUUAGGCGGAAUACGUGGAAAUGUUUUACCUUGUGUUGAAGUCCCAGAGGUCAUUAAGGUACAAAUGAAGAAAUACUGCCUACGCGCUUUGUUGGGGAAGAUGAAACACAGCUUUGUAGUGUAACACUCUGGACCUGACCAAGUAGAUGAGAAAUUACAGGUUUCGCAUAAUCCUGAAACAAUAAACAAAGUGAAGAACAAAGCAGAAGCUGAAGAUGACUCAUCCAGGCAAACCCAGAGGUGUAUCGGCAGAUUCUUUCUUGCGAACGGAAUUGAUUUUAGUGCUGCAAACUCAUCUACCUUCGAUAAAAUGAUACAUGCUUUGGUUGGAGUUGGAUCCACAGCAUAUAAGGUCCCUAGUUGCAAUGACCUAAAAGGGUGGAUCCUAGAGGGAGAACUGAAAGCAAUGCGAGAUCAUGUGCAGGAAGUUGUGUGCUCUUGGGGAAGCACUGGGUGCAGCAUAUUGCUAGAUGGGUGGACCAAUGAGAAAGGGCGAAAUAUGAUUAAUUUUGUAGUUGAUAGCCCACUGGGUCCCAUAUUCAUGAAGUCAGCGGAUUUCUCAGAUUCCAUUGGAAAUGUAGAUUCCAUGAUCUCAUUGUUAAGUGGAGUUAUUGAAGAGGUUGGAGUAGAGAAUGUGGUUCAAAUUGUCACAUAUAGUACUGCGGCUUCAAUGGAGGCAGUUGGUAAACAAAUGACAGAAAUAUAAGAGUGUAUUCUGGACUGUUUGUGCAUCUCACUGCAUAGGUCUCAUGUUGGAAAACAUAGGAAUGUUGGGCACUGAGAGAGGAAUAUUGGGCAAGGCAAAGACCAUUUCUAAGUUCAUUUACAGCCAUGAGACAGUUUUGAAGCUCAUGAAAGAACACACUCGUGGGUUCGAUAUAGUUAGUUCCUCCAGGAUAAGAUCAAUGAUGCCUUUUUUAAUAUUGGAGACAAUUGAGGCUCAAAAGAAGAAUUUGAGGGAGAUGUUUAUUUCGCUGGAAUGGAAGAACUCGACCUUGGCUUCAACAGCUGAUGGAAGGAUGGUGGCUGGUUUGGUCACUGGGGAGCCUUCUUUCUGGGCUGAAGCCGAGAUGCUUGUGAAGGACAAUGGACCAGGUCAAAGAGACAAUAAAAAAGAUAUAUAAAGGCAGGAAAACCGAAUAUCAGCCUCUCUGGACAGUCAUCGAUGGGAUUUGGGAUGACCAACUUCAUAGCCCUAUCCAUGCAGCAGGCUACUAUUUAAAUCCGGGUCUCUUUUACUUCAAAGAUUUCUAUGCUGAUGAUAAGGUUAAGGCCGGACUGCUAUGCUGCAUCGUGCGAAUUGUGGAGGAUGAACGUGAACAGGAUUUGAUAGCAUCACAAUUCGAUGAAUAUAGAAAUGCUAGUGGAGCUUUUGGCGACGGAGAUGCUGUUUGUCAAAGAGCAAAGCUUGCUCCAGCGAAGUGGUGGUCCCUGUAUGGAGGCGAAUGCCCUGAAUUACAACAAUUUGCUAUAAGAAUUCUGUCUCAGACCUGUACGGGUGCCUUAAGAUAUGGUUUGAAAAGGAGUCUAACUGAGGAACUACAUAUGGAGAAGGAAAGGAACUGUUUAGAGCAAAAAUGGUUGAGUGAGCUGACAUUUGUUCACCAUAGUCUUUGGUUGCAAAAUUUACCUGCUUCAAACUUUGAUUACACUGACACGUCUUGGACCAAUGGAUGAACGGAUUGGCAGGGGGUAGCAUGGAAGAGAAAGCAGCUGACAAAUUGGUAAUGUUUAGAAUAGCUGGAUUUUCAGUAGAUAAUGACUGUGGUGAUGUGAAUACGUAAUUACUCUUAUAGGAAGCUAGGGAAUUUAAAAUUUUGAAGCCAUGGGAGCAUGGCUUGUCAACAGAGACAAUGAAUACACGUGAUUUCGAGAAAUAGUACUAGAACAUACAGAGUUGUACAUAAAGCCGAGAAGAUGCAGCCUCAGUGGCUUGAGGUGGUAAUUACAAAAUUAUAUGUGACUAUGCAUGUUACGGACUCAGAU